AAAAAUCUCUUUGGGCUCUGUUAAAAUUUCUUUAGUAAAGUGUAAAAGGCCAAACCUAAGAGGUUGGGCAACCCGGAAAGUCCCUCCAGUAUCAGGAGUUAAUAGUCAGGAAACAUUCUUCACUUUAACGCCUUAUAUCUGACAAAUCAUUGACUCAUAGAUGCAGAUAGACAUACAAGUGCACAUACAUCCAGAUGUGCAUUUAGACAUUAAAAGUGUAGAGGCAUGUACACACAGAUUGGCAAACCGGUACAGAGUCUAACUGAAGAGCUUAACAAAGCAGACGUGGCAGUAGGGUUUGUGAUUUUGCCUGAUAUGAUAUUGGGAACCAACUUUGAAUAAUGACAGGAACCUGAGAUGAACACAGUAGGUUAGUAAGGUGUAGCAGAGAAAGGGUCAGAGCGAAGGUAGUGGACCUGGGAAUGGUGUAGUGACGUCUUUGGAAGACGUCAAAAGGGGGAAUUGUAGAAUUAUAGGGACUAUUUUACAUAACCAUCAUCUUGUCAUUGCAUUAAUUAUCAUUUCAUCCAAGCAUUUAUUGAAGCUGCUGGCAUUAUGUUAUAAUUUAUAUUAUAGGGGUUAUUAUAAUCAAAUAUUAACAUGUUUAUUACAGGUGCAGUAUAACUACUUUAAAAUGAUUGAGUUAAAUAUAUAUAUAUCAUAACUCAUAUGCUGAGUAUAUUGUUACAGUAAAAUAGUAGCUGAGCAAAGGCCUGAAUGUAUUCAGCUUCUUGUGGUAUUUGAGUUUGCUUAGUUACAGGUGACGGAAGGAUGUCCAGUCCAUGGUGACCUCAAAGGCCUUAGGUCAUCACUAUAUUCGGAAGAGUAUGCCACAAGGAGGAACCUCUGUGUUUGCAUUUAAUUCUUAAAAUACAUGAAUGUUCUGUACAUGCAAAUUAUGUGCUUGUAAACGCAAGAAGGGGCGUUACAAUACCCUGAUGUUAUAAAAGCAAUCUAGAGUGUAUUUUGGGCAGAGAUGUACAACUGCUUUGCAGUUUGCACCUCUCCACGCUGCGUGCAUUCAUUAAAAUCAAUUGUUUGAUUGACCUCUUCUGGACCAUCAUUGUUUUACUCUCGUCCUCAAUUUCGAACCCGUAACAGUACCUGAUCAUUUUCUAAAUUUCUUUUUCUUCAUUUUCUGCUGUAGAUUUUAUAAUAUAG
ensembl:lncRNA